rnacentral:rRNA from 1 species
GACGAACGCUGGCGGCGUGCUUAAUACAUGCAAGUCGAACGGUAAGGCUCUGGUUUUGUGGGGUGCUCGAGUGGCGAACGGGUGAGUAACACGUGAGUAACCUGCCCACGACUAUGGGAUAACUUCAGGAAACUGGGGCUAAUACCGGAUAGGGGCUCCUGCUGCAUGGUGGGGGUUGGUAAGGUUCGGUGGUUGGGGAUGGACUCGCGGUUUAUCAGCUGGUUGGUGGGGUAGUGGCUUACCACGGCUUUGACGGGUAGCCGGCCUGAGAGGGGGACCGGCCAAAUGGGGACUGAGCUACGGGCGGGAGUCCUACGGGAGGCUGGGGUAUGGAAGAUUGCACGAUGGAGCGAAGCCGGGUGCAGCAUCGCCGCGUGCGGGAUGAAGGGCUUCGUGGUGUAAAACGCUUGGGCCAGUGACGAUACGUGAGUGACGGUAAUGUAUAAGGAAGCACCGGCUAACUACGUG